ACCCUCGUGAAAGUGUUCAUUUAGUAUACACUGGCUUUUUGUUCUUGUUUCCUAAUACAGCCCGCUUUGAUGAAGUAGCUUCUCAGUGAAUGAGUAUGGAAUUUUUCAAAGCUCGGGUGUUGUGCUGAAGAUCAUGUCUGUGCCCUGUGGUGCUGUCAGCAGUGACAGAUCCCAGAUGGAGCCGCUACUGUAUGUGAGAUUGGAUUUCUCACCAGAGAACUUAGUCUCUUUCAAACUGCCUUCAUAAACCUUCUUUGGGUACUCGCUGGUCAUAUUGCCUGAAAAUAACGCAAAAGAUGUUAGCUGAUUGACCACUGAUAUAGACUUUUUUGUAGUUUCCUUUGCAGUUCUGACAUGCGUUUCCAGGCUUUUAAAAUGCAAUUUGGAUUCUUAAGACACCAAUUAAAUGACUAAGGCGUUACAAAGAAGAUAAAAAUGCAUAUACAUAUAAAGAACGACAGCAUUCUUUUGUAGCAACUUUGGAGUAUACAGUUAUGCAUCUGGCAAGAGGAAAGGACCUGGAAUGCUGUAACAUACUUGGGGAUUCAAAAAGAAGCUCACUUUUCCAUUAAGGGCUGAGACUUGCCUAGUGUCCUGUCAUAUGUGUUACAGGGAACAGAAACUGUCCAUGAAGGAAUAAUUAAUGCAAGCUACUACCCAAAAAAAUGAACCAAGCAUAUUCAAUAUAUAUUCAAGACUGA